rfam:Hordeum vulgare subsp. vulgare, WGS project CAJW01000000 data, contig: morex_contig_87070
CAUGUACUCCCUCCGUCCGGUAAUACUUGUCAGAAAAAUUGAUAAAAAUGAAUGUAUUUAAACUAAAAUACGUCUAGAUACAUCCAUUUCUCUGAUAAGUAUUUCUGGACGGAGGGAGUAUAUA